rnacentral:rRNA from 1 species
ACUCCUACGGGAGGCAGCAGUGGGGAAUAUUGCACAAUGGGCGCAAGCCUGAUGCAGCAACGCCGUGUGAGUGAAGAAGGUUUUCGGAUCGUAAAACUCUGUCCUAAGGGAAGAAACAAAUGACGGUACCUUAGGAGGAAGCCCCGGCUAACUACGUGCCAGCAGCCGCGGUAAUACGUAGGGGGCAAGCGUUAUCCGGAAUCACUGGGGCGUAAAGGGUGCGUAGGCGGCUUAGCAAGCCAGGGGUGAAAGGCAUUGGCUCAACCAAUGUAAGCCUUUGGAACUGUUAAGCUUGAGUGCAGGAGAGGUAAGUGGAAUUCCUAGUGUAGAGGUGAAAUUCGUAGAUAUUAGGAGGAACACCAGUGGCGAAGGCGACUUACUGGACUGUAACUGACGCUGAUGCACGAAAGCGUGGGUAGCGAACAGGAUUAGAUACCCUGGUAGCACAGGG